GACGAACGCUGGCGGCGUGCUUAACACAUGCAAGUCGAACGGAAAGGCCUCUUUCGGGGGGUACUCGAGUGGCGAACGGGUGAGUAACACGUGAGUAACCUGCCCUUGACUUUGGGAUAACUUCAGGAAACUGGGGCUAAUACCGGAUAGGAGCUCCUGCUGCAUGGUGGGGGUUGGAAAGUUUCGGCGGUUGGGGAUGGACUCGCGGCUUAUCAGCUUGUUGGUGGGGUAGUGGCUUACCAAGGCCUUGACGGGUAGCCGGCCUGAGAGGGUGACCGGCCACAUUGGGACUGAGAUACGGCCCAGACGCCUACGGGAGGCAGCAGUGGGGAAUAUUGCACAAUGGGUGGAAGCCUGAUGCAGCAACGCCGUGUGCGGGAUGACGGCCUUCGGGUUGUAAACCGCUUUCGCUCAUGACGAAGCUUUGUGUGACGGUAGUGGGUAAAGAAGCACCGGCUAACUACGUG
rnacentral:rRNA from 1 species